ACUGAAAGAUGGAUCCGUUGAUGUCCAUCCCAUUCAGCAUCUAUCUCUAGAAAAGGCUAAGGAACUCAUUCACAGAAUCGCCUUUCCAGGAUCUCGUAUAUGCCCUCCAGCUUUAGCUACACUGUCCAAUGAAAUUCUAGGAAAAUGUGAAGGGCUACCAUUGGCAAUCACUGAAAUUGGUCACCUUUUGUCAACUAAGGGGGAAAGGGAACCUGAAUGGAAAAAAUUGCGUGAUAGUCUUGCAUCAGAACUGACAAGCCAUGGCCGGCUUGCAAAUAUUGCAAAAGUGUUGAUUCUUAGUUAUGAUGACUUACCUUACCAUCUUAAAAACUGUUUUCUGUUGAUGAAUACUUUUCCCCCUAAUCACCCCAUCCAGCGCACAGAGCUAAUACGGUUAUGGAUAGCAGAAGACUUCAUCACAGAAGGGAACAAUGGAAAAGAACUCGAAGAUUUGGGGGAAGAAUACCUGAACGAGCUCAUUCAAAGAAACUUGGUUCAGGUGUGG
rnacentral:lncRNA from 1 species